UAACGCGUGGGUAACCUGCCUCAUACAGGGGAUAACAGUUAGAAAUGACUGCUGAUACCGCAUAAGCGCACAGAGCUGCAUGGCUCAGUGUGAAAAACUCCGGUGGUAUAAGAUGGACCCGCGUUGGAUUAGCUGGUUGGUGGGGUAACGGCCCACCAAGGCGACGAUCCAUAGCCGGCCUGAGAGGGUGAACGGCCACAUUGGGACUGAGACACGGCCCAG
rnacentral:rRNA from 1 species